AAUGAACGCUGGCGGCAGGCCUAAAACAUGCAAGUCGAACGCCCUAGCAAUAGGGAGUGGCGCACGAGUGCGUAACAUGUGGGAAUAUGCCUUUUGGUACGGAACAACGUUUGGAAACGAACGCUAAUACCGUAUGGUCCCUUCGGGGUAAAGAUUUAUCGCCAAAAGAUUAGCCCGCACUGGAUUAGCUAGUUGGUGAGGUAAUGGCUCACCAAGGCGACGAUCCAUAGCUGGUCUGAGAGGAUGAUCAGCCACACUGGGACUGAGACACGGCCCAGACUCCUACGGGAGGCAGCAGUUAGGAAUAUUGGACAAUGGGCGCAAGUCUGAUCCAGCCAUGCCGCGUGAGUGAUGAAGGCCUUCGGGUUGUAAAGCUCUUUAGCCGACGAUAUAAUGACUGUAGUCGGAGAAUAAGCCCCGGCUAACUUCGUGCCAGCAGCCGCCGUAA
rnacentral:rRNA from 1 species